rnacentral:sRNA from 1 species
UUAAUGACUAUGAAGGGGAGUAGUAAUGUCGCUGUCAUACCCUGAAGAGAGCUGCCGGUCGGUGCGAGGCGGUGGGUAAGGUGAAUGAACUCGCCCCGGAGUUGCCCGGUGGAAAAAAGUAUACCGGGACGGCAUGUGCCGUUAACACACCGAGCGGUUAAAGUCAUGGGGAUGUAGCUCAGAUGGGAGAGCGCCUGAAUGGCAUUCAGGAGGUCAGGGGUUCGAUUCCCCUCAUCUCCACCAUGGACUUUAUCAAUUAGGGUGGUACCGCGAGACAAACCUCUCGUCCCUUAC